GUAAAUAUAAUUUAAUAGGUAAAAUGUAUGUUUCUAGGGAUAUAUUAUCUAAGUUCAAGUCUUAGUAUUUACAAU
rnacentral:tRNA from 1 species